rnacentral:rRNA from 1 species
AAUAUUGCGCAAUGGGGGGAACCCUGACGCAGCAACGCCGCGUGAGCGAGGAAGGCCUNCGGGUCNUNAAGCUCUGUCUAGAGGGNAGAUAGUGACAGUACCUCUGGAGGAAGCCCCGUCUAACUACGUGCCAGCAGCCGCGGUAAUACGUAGGGGGCAAGCGUUGUCCGGAUUUACUGGGCGUAAAGGGCGCGUAGGCGGUAGCAUAAGUCAGAUGUGAAAGUACAGGGCACAACCGUGGAAUUGCAUUUGAAACUGUCCUACUUGAGUGCAGGAGAGGAGAGCGGAAUUCCUAGUGUAGCGGUGAAAUGCGUAGAGAUUAGGAAGAACAACAGUGGCGAAGGCGGCUCUCUGGACUGUAACUGACGCUGAGGCGCGAAAGCGUGGGUAGCGAAC